GGAUUUAUAGCUCAGUGGUAGAGCGCUUGCCUAGCAAGCACAAGGCCCUGGGUUCGGUUCCCAGCUCCG
rnacentral:tRNA from 1 species